rnacentral:lncRNA from 1 species
CUUCCCUCAGCCUGUAGAACUUCCGGCAGCAACUGCAAUUAGGGGUAGUCCAGUGCUAAAUUGUCGCAGCCUUGAAAAUAUUCUGCUUCGUUAUUUCGGGCACUCCACAGAUUCUGUUGCGAAGGCAGCCAUCUUUAGUUCGUCUUUCCUAGAGAGUAGUGUGUGAGCUGCAAAGUUGCUUUACAUCUUUGCCAGCAGCUGAUAAGGGUGGGCCAUAAACCCAAUUUGUGUCCCUUGGGCUGGUGAUUCUGCUGGAAAUCCUGAUCAGCUGCUUAGCUUUUCAGCCGCAACUUUGUUCGUUGAGAAGAUUCUGCUCCAUUUUUUCUGAUUAUGGAUUCUGUUCAGAAGGAAGCCGAAUUUUAAGUCAUCGUUCUAGGAUAGAUUCAGCUCCAUUUUCUCUGGUGGUAGAUCUCCAUGGAUGCUAUUGAGAAGGUACUUCUCAAAGUCCACGAGGACAAGGACAUCUUUCCACCGAAUGCCACCUGGUUUAUAACAAAAGCAUGAAAAACAAACAGGAAUUUCUCAAUGCAGAAAGGACUGAAGCUGUCAAAGGUGUGCUUUUUUUCUGCACAAACAAGUUUCCAUUGAAUGAUAGAAUAAAGAGAUACUGACUUCCCCGGAGCCUCCAAACUUGAGUAGUCAGCUUCAUUGCAUAAGUUAUUAAAAUAUGUAUCAUCUACCAUAAAAGAAAAUACUCAGAAUAGAAUAACUUUCCAGAGGCAUCAAGACCAAUAGGAAACAGAGCUCAGUAUUAGAACCCAAAAGAGGCAGAUUCCAAGCUUCUACUCUUCAGCAGGAUGAAUUGGAGAUUUCAGGCCAGGUGGAGGUGCCAGCCACGUGUUCUUCUCGCAAGUGAACAUUUUCUGGAAUGUGAAUCAGAUCACACAGCAGUAUGCAGCCACCACUGCUUUGCAGUUGUUCCAGACCUAUUUCCUCACCUGUUGAGAUGGAUGUGACCUGUACCCAUAAUGUCUAUAAUUAGAAGUUUUUCAGUGAGCAUUCUGUGGGUUAGACCUAUCCUUGAAAACAUGGGCUGGACUGGAUGUUGCAAGUAACAUUUUCUGUCAAAUGGAGUUUGGCCACAGACUCCAAAGGCCUAAACAACAAAUGCCAAAACCCCAUAUUCUAAAUUCAGGUGCUGGAUGAUCUGGAGAGGGAUUGGACCCAAAUUGGUUCUGCAGGCAUCGGCACAUUGUUUAAGUGAGUGAUAUAAAAGAGCUGAGGUGGUAAAAGGAGGAAAGACUCUUUUGAGACAGUUGCCAUCCUGGCAUAUAUUUUCUCCAAACUCAUGGGAGAUGUAGAAAAUGGCUGUCCCUAUGUCUCUAGUCAAAUGAAAGGGGCAUGGAACUUUUGCUCCACUCUGAUAUAGUUUGUAUAUUUGUCCCUGCCCAAAUCUCAUGUUGAAAUGUAAUCCCUGAUGCUGGAGGUGGGGCCU